UGACAACACGAACAAUGCAAAUAUUUCAGCCUUUAAGUAUGUUUGGAAUGACAGAAAAUGCCAACAUCGCUCUCUUUCCCAGAAAUAGCUUUUAAUCACAGCUGUCCUAACGCAGAGUCGUCCCCUCUCCUCCCCCACCCCGCGGAACAUUUUAUAAUCAGAUUUUUAUCAGGCACGAGUCAACGGCAUGAGCACACGCAUGGCAGAUGGGCGGAUGUUCAACGCGUCGCCGGAGGAUCCUCCCACAGCUGCUGAACUCUGCAUCCCAGGGCCACUUUCUGCUGUUCAGUGCCCAGCGGCACCAACGGCCUCGGGACCACGAAGCACCAGAGAAGCCACAGAGGUUAAAGCCACUUCCAUAGAAGUCUGUUCCUCUGAGAAGCAGCUGGGAGGCCAUGUGAUGGACACAGGCUUUGCAUCGAGGACACGGCCGUCCUUACGCACGUUCUGCGGCCCGCUUCGCUUCCAGGCUACCCAAGGGUGCUGGGAGCACCGGCAGCUCCUCCCCAGGCGCCCCAGCCUCGCGCCGGCUCCCCGGGGCCCUCCUGGUGCCGGCACCGGCGCUGCCCCGACGCCGGAGGAAGGGCUGCAGCCACCCGGGCACAAGCGCCCCGCGUCCCGUCGCGUCUGCGGGGCUGCCCGGCCGCUGCUCUCUCCCCGCUAGAUCCAACGCGGCCAAGAGAUGGGACGCGGUCGCAGCCACGUCGGCCAAGGGAAGUGCUCCCUCUCCGCAGGGAAGGCCCGUGGCUGGGCACGUGUUACCACCAGAUACCCGCUUGCGGACAUUCAUCAAAAACCACAGCCAACAAGCCUGGGGCUAUUCUUCCCGUGUGAAAAACAGCCUCGGGAGGGGACGGAGAGCCCAGCGGAGCUGCAGCGGCGGCCACAGGCUCCGAGGCAACGAGAGGACACGCACCAGGCACAGCCCAUGUUCGCAGCUUCGUUUUAUUGCCCAGCUACUUUGGGCUUUUGCUCCGUGGCCAUAAAUCACGGGGAGGUGCUGGAAUUCAACGCCGGUUUCUGCGGGAGGGAGCCUGGGGGGUGGGAAGGGCCCGCGGCUCCCCGCACCAGCCGGCCACCACACUCUUCCUCGCUGGUCCAGGUGCAGAAGCCCCCGGCGCCCCGCUCCUCCGCCCCAGCGCCGCGGCUCGCCCCGCUCAAAGCCCGGCUGCGUCUCCGCCCCCGGCGCGCCCCUCCCGGCCCGGCAUUACUCCAUCCGAGAUCAUGCUUUUGCCAGUCACCUCCUAGCCAAGUGGGGCCUCCGCCAAGGUCAACACGAGCUCCAGCCAGUUUCAUUAAUAACCGCGAGACCAGCCCACUGGAAACUCUGAGAGGUUAAUCCCAGCAACAGAUCACUGUUCCCAUAACAAAGCCACGCAGCAAACCGCAGGGCAGCGGCGCGGCGGCGAUUUACCCGCCAGCCAUCCCAGCUAGCGAGCAGCGCGCUCGCUUCCUCCCGAUUGCACGACGGGCUUCAGCCAGCGCUGCCCCGCCGAGCGGCCUCCCCGGGCCCCCAACGGCCUCCCCGGGCCCCCGGCAGCCUCCCCGGGCCCCGUGGUGGGGCCAGAGCGAGGACCAACCCUCGCGGGCGGGCAGCGGCCGGGGGAGCCCCCCGCCCCGCGUCCCUCUCCAUCCCCACCCAGCAAGGAAGGGAGCAGCGCCGGAGGAAGCCCCCCGGCACAGCCCUGCCGGCUCGCUGGGCGACGCGGGAGAAGCGGGCGGGAAACAACAGGAAACGGGACUCCCGGGGGGCCUUUAAACCGUCCCCCGCGCUCGGCCAGGCCGCGUUCGGGGCAGGAGCUGAGCGGCUCGCCAAGACCUUUUCCAUCGCGCAGCCCGUUUUCCAGGAGUUUAUUGUAAAUCGGGCUCUGGAACGUGCAGUCAGUGUGGAAUUUGGCAUGUACGUCGUUGGCUUCAAUGAAUCAUUAAAAAUGUAUUU